rnacentral:rRNA from 1 species
UACGGAGGGUGCAAGCGUUGCUCGGAAUCAUUGGGCGUAAAGCGUACGCAGGCUGUUCGUUAAGUCGGGUGUGAAAGCCCGGGGCUCAACCCCGGAACUGCGCCCGAAACUGGCGAGCUUGAGUGCGGGAGAGGGAAGCGGAAUUCCUGGUGUAGCGGUGAAAUGCGUAGAUAUCUGGAGGAACACCGGUGGCGAAGGCGGCGUUCUGGACUGCUACUGACACUGAUGAACGAAAGCCAGGGGAGCAAACGGG